AUGUAUUUUCAAAUAGUCUGUCGUAGCGUAGCCACCGGUUUAGUAGCCGCCAUACGCUCCUCUGCUGUAGCCACCUGCACCGCCUCGGGGGGCGUAGGGAGCAGGGCUCCUACCAGCGUAGUUGGUGCCGCCUUUCAUGGGCCCAUAACCGGAGGACUGCUGGCUGUACCCACUGCCAAAGUCACUGUAGCCAUUGCCGCCACCAUAGCCUCCCAUCUGGUCGCCGUAACCACCUCCGUAGCUUGCGCCUCCCCCAUAGGCACCGCCGUAGCCUCCACUUCCGUAGCCACCGCCAUAGCCACCAGCACUGCCCCCGUAGCUUGCAUCUCCUGCUUUGUGAGGGCUUUCUUCACCUCCACCUUGUGCCCAUUGAUGUUGUGGAACUUAAGUACCACUGCCUUAUCGGCCGAAUCGUUAUCUGUGAAGUGAACAAAACCAAAACCUCUUUUCUUUCCGGUUUCCUUCUCUGCGAUAACUUCGGCCUUCUCGAUCUCGCCGAACUGGGAAAAAUACUCAUUCAGAUGUUCAUCUUCGAUGUCGUCUUUCAGUCCCCCGAUGAAUAUUUUCUUGACCUUGGCGAGUGCCUCGGGUUUACCGGCAUCUUCACGAGCGACCGCUCUUUUCAACUCCACGUUGGUGCCAUCAACGACAUGUGGCCUUGCCGCCAUUGCUGCAUCUGCCUCCUCAGCGCUCGAGUAGGUUACAAAGCCAAAACAGCGGGACCUCUGUAGCUGCUUAUUCACAACUACAACGCAGUCGGUCAGUUGACCGUACUGCUCAAAAUGCUUGCGGAGCCCAUCAUCGUCGGUAUCUACGUUCAAUCCACCAACAAAAAGUUUGCAAAGUUGAGAGGAGUUAUCCAUUUUCGUCAGGAACGACCGCGUUGCGCUACAGAAACAAAAAAAAAAGCACAGGCAAUGCUUAGAGGUGGAGUCAAUAAAUAGAAUCCAGGCCGUAUUUAUACCGACGUUAUAGUGACGUCAUACUACAGCAACACUGUUACGCCCCCUUACAUUGGGUUUGUUCAGGAUGGUCACUAUGUAGUAAACGCUGCGCAGAGAUUAUGUGAUCUGUAGAUUAAAUCAAUCGCCAAAGUACUAGCGCCAAGGUAAUUCAUAUGCAUGACAGAUUAGUGUAUUUCCCGCAGCCCCUUAGUCCCCAGUUGACCCUCGUGAAUAAACAGAUUAUAUUUUGUUCUUGUGUGGGUUGGAAAGUCGUUUUGAAAAUUAAGAGUAUGUUUCUGUUGUAGUUAGUAUCCUUUUUUUUAUGUGUGACUAACUUCGUUCACUUUAUUGUGAUUUUGCGAAUUUAUACCUAUCAUUCAAUUGAAUCAAAUCACGUUUUAUUUGUCACAUUCGCCAAAUACAGCAGGUGUAGACCUUACAGUGAAGUGCCUACUUACAAGCCCUUAUUAACCAACAAUGAUUUAAGAAAAAAAUAAGUGUUACGUAAAAAAUAGAUAAGUUAAAAAAAAUUAGAAAAUAAAAGUAAUAAAUAAUUAAACAGCAGCAGUAAAAUAACAAGCAAGGCUAUAUACAGGGGGUACCGGUACAGAGUCAAUGUGCUGGUCACCGGUUAGUCGAUGUAAUUGAGGUAAUAUGUACAUGUAGGUAGAGUUAAAGUGACUAUGCAUAGAUUAUAAACAAAGAGUAGCAGCAGCGUAAAACAGGGGCCUGGGUAGCCCUUUGAUUAGAUGUCCAGCCACCCUAGUCAGGGGCUUUUGGACCUAGACUUGGUGCUCCGGUACCACUUGCCGUGCGGUAGCAGAGAGAACAGUCUAUGACUAGGGUGGCUGGAGUCUUUGACAAUUUUUAGGGCCAUUCCCCUCCAUGUUUCUAUCCCUUAAAAUUGCCUGUAUUAAUUACAUCAUAAAAUGAUACCCCAAGCCAGUUUCCAACAAGCUGAAUGGAGGGGUUGGUUGUUUAGCAACAAAACUGAUGCGUGCACAACUAUGGGGCAAAACAGACAUGGUUGGCUUACAUUGUUGACAAUGUAAACUAUAUUUUGUAUCCAAUGUUUAUUGAAAACAGAAAUAAAUGUGCACAAUGAGCACUUUUUGUCUCUCAAAUACAUCAGUAAUGUUGUUGGUUAGCUAGCUAGUGAUUUUUGCCAUAUUAGCAUAGACGACAUCAGUCAAAACAUCUACAUAAUCUAAAACUGCAAUGAUGCUGUUCCUGAUGUAAAUUGGAAAGACUGAUGUAUUUGCACAAAAACAGAUCAGCGCCUCAGACAAUGGCAUGGUAUCACCCUAUGCUGCUGCUCAUUUGUGUUUGAAUGGGGGAGGACCCCACUCUCUGGAGAUGUGAAAAUGUCUUUACCCGGGCAAUCAAGACUUGUAGUGCCACCAGUGUUCAAACUAUUAUUUUCACUGAUCACAGGUAAGCAGCCUUCAUCAUGUACAUUGUCGUCUUGAGGUUUAUUGAAUGUCCCUGCUGAUCCCAUAUUCCUGAAAGAAACAGGCCUCUGGCAAACAAUUGUGGCAAGUCUUUGGCAAAUUUGGCCAAUUCAAGUGCAAAUGAGUUUUGUGGCAAAUAGAUUGCAGAAACUUAUGAACACCUGGCAAUCAAUUCUGCAAAACUUGUGGCAGACAUUGUACUGUUUGCUGAAAAUUUGCAGCAGACUCAUUAUGAAUAUGCAAAUUACAUCAGGUUUUUGUUUACUUUGUAUAUUAACUUGCUUCUUACGAAGUACACUAAACUAAAUGUACUAAAUAUGUACUAAAUGUACUAAAUAAAC
ensembl:lncRNA